GCGAACCGGGGGAACUGAAACAUCUAAGUACCCCGAGGAAAAGAAAUCAACCGAGAUUCCCCCAGUAGCGGCGAGCGAACGGGGAGGAGCCCAGAGCCUGAAUCAGCAUGUGUGUUAGUGGAAGCGUCUGGAAAGGCGCGCGAUACAGGGUGACAGCCCCGUACACAAAAGCGCAUGUGCUGUGAGCUCGAUGAGUAGGGCGGGACACGUGGUAUCCUGUCUGAAUAUGGGGGGACCAUCCUCCAAGGCUAAAUACUCCUGACUGACCGAUAGUGAACCAGUACCGUGAGGGAAAGGCGAAAAGAACCCCGGCGAGGGGAGUGAAAAAGAACCUGAAACCGUGUACGUACAAGCAGUGGGAGCACCCUUUGGGGUGUGACUGCGUACCUUUUGUAUAAUGGGUCAGCGACUUAUAUUCUGUAGCAAGGUUAACCGUAUAGGGGAGCCGGAGGGAAACCGAGUCUUAACCGGGCGUUAAGUUGCAGGGUAUAGACCCGAAACCCGGUGAUCUAGCCAUGGGCAGGUUGAAGGUUGGGUAACACUAACUGGAGGACCGAACCGACUAAUGUUGAAAAAUUAGCGGAUGACCUGUGGCUGGGGGUGAAAGGCCAAUCAAACCGGGAGAUAGCUGGUUCUCCCCGAAAGCUAUUUAGGUAGCGCCUCGUGAAUUCAUCUCCGGGGGUAGAGCACUGUUUCGGCUAGGGGGCCAUCCCGGCUUACCAACCCGAUGCAAACUGCGAAUACCGGAGAAUGUUAUCACGGGAGACACACGGCGGGUGCUAACGUCCGUCGUGAAGAGGGAAACAACCCAGACCGCCAGCUAAGGUCCCAAAGUCAUGGUUAAGUGGGAAACGAUGUGGGAAGGCCCAGACAGCCAGGAUGUUGGCUUAGAAGCAGCCAUCAUUUAAAGAAAGCGUAAUAGCUCACUGGUCGAGUCGGCCUGCGCGGAAGAUGUAACGGGGCUAAACCAUG
rnacentral:rRNA from 1 species